CACGUAGUUGGCCGGUGCUUCUUCUGCGCAUACCGUCACUUUCGCUUCGUCUGCGCUGAAAGAGGUUUACAACCCGAAGGCCGUCAUCCCUCACGCGGCGUUGCUGGAUCAGACUUUCGCCCAUUGUCCAAUAUUCCCCACUGCUGCCUCCCGUAGGAGUCUGGGCCGUGUCUCAGUCCCAGUGUGGCCGGUCACCCUCUCAGGCCGGCUACCCGUCGAAGCCUUGGUGGGCCGUUACCCCACCAACAAGCUGAUAGGCCGCGAGCUCAUCCUCCACCGCCGGAACUUUCCACCACCAUCAGAUGCCUGAAGUGGUCGUAUCCGGUAUUAGCUCCCGUUUCCGGGGUUAUCCCGAUGUGGAGGGCAGAUUGCUCACGUGUUACUCACCCGUUCGCCGCUCGUGUACCCCGAAGGGUCUUACCGCUCGACUUGCAUGUGUUAAGCACGCCGCCAGCGUCGUCCUCGAGCCACGGAGUCAACUACU
rnacentral:rRNA from 1 species